UGCAGGCAAAGCAGUCAAGUCAGUACAGCAUGAGACUUUUAAAUCUCAGGGUCGUGGGUUCGAGCCCCACGUCGGGCAA